AAUCAUUCACUAAAAGCCAAGAAAUAUUUUAAGAAAAAAUGCCUAAUUUUUUUGUGUCAGUAAGAAUUUUUAUCUUUAGCAAUGCUGAUAAAACUGAAUUUUUUUAAAAAAAGAGUUAUUCCAGCCUUCCAACCAAAUAUUAGAGACUUUUAAAAAAGCACUCUCACAAAAUAAUGCUUUUAUAAUCAAUUUAAAAGUCUUUCAAAUCGUUAACCAUUUUCUAAAGACGAAGAAGAAGAAUCAUCAAUCUUCAUACCAUUUAAUAAAGCUAUUUUAAUAAAACGCAAUACAAAUUGUUGUAAAUUAGUAUUUGAAUAA